UACGUAGGGUGCAAGCGUUAAUCGGAAUUACUGGGCGUAAAGCGUGCGCAGGCGGUUUUGUAAGUCUGUCGUGAAAGCCCCGGGCUCAACCUGGGAAUUGCGAUGGAGACUGCAAGGCUUGAAUCUGGCAGAGGGGGGUAGAAUUCCACGUGUAGCAGUGAAAUGCGUAGAGAUGUGGAGGAACACCGAUGGCGAAGGCAGCCC
rnacentral:rRNA from 1 species